rnacentral:rRNA from 1 species
CAGGCCUAACACAUGCAAGUCGAGCGGGUAGCAAUACCAGCGACAAACGGGUGCGUAGCGCGUAAGCAACCUGCCCGCAACUGGGGGAUAGCCCGGCGAAAGCGGGGGUAAACCCGCAUGGUCCUUUUUUCUCACCUGGGAGGAUAGGUAAACAUUUAUGGGUUGCGGAGGGGCUUGCGUCUGAUUAGCUAGUUGGGGGGGUAAGGGCCCACCAAGGCGAUGAUCAGUAGGGGUUCUGAGAGGAUUGGCCCCCACAUGGGUACUGAGAUACGGACCCAACUCCUACGGGAGGCAGCAGUAGGGAAUAUUGGGCAAUGGGCGAGAGCCUGACCCAGCCAUGCCGCGUGCCGGAUGAAGGCGCUCAGCGUUGUAAACGGCUUUUAUCUAGGAAGAACGGCAGGUCUGCGGGCUUGUGUGACGGUACUAGAGGAAUAAGCACCGGCUAACUCCGUGCCAGCAGCCGCGGUAAU